rnacentral:misc_RNA from 1 species
GCCGGUUCCCCUUGAGUGCGGGUUGGAACCUUGAACGCCACACUCGGCGGAAAUCCGAUGGUCGGAUUCCACGCCCUUCAGGGCGUGGAGGAGGUCAAUUUCC